UCUCACCACUCUCCAUUGUCACUCAAGGAUUUCUUUCUUCUCCAUCAUCAUCUUAAGAUGUCUAUGUCAAUGGCUUGAUUUUUGGCAAGUUCUUUAGGCAUAAUUUGGGAAAUCAAGGGUUCAUCAUCAUUCUUUUGCUUGCGUUGAGUGGCCAUUUAUUGAAAAUUUCUGUGGAGUCAUUAAGAAUUUGAGUCCUUGGGCAUUGAUCUUAUCACUAAGCUUAUAGCAUAAACUCACC
rnacentral:lncRNA from 1 species